rnacentral:rRNA from 1 species
UACGGGAGGCAGCAGUGGGGAAUAUUGCACAAUGGGCGAAAGCCUGAUGCAGCUAUGCCGCGUGUAUGAAGAAGGCCUUAGGGUUGUAAAGUACUUUCAUCGGGGAGGAAAAACAAAACUAAUAAUUUUAUUUCUUGACGUUACCCGAAAAAGAAGCACCGGCUAACUCCGUGCCAACAGCCGCGGUAAUACGGAGGGUGCUAGCGUUAAUCAGAAUUACUGGGCGUAAAGAGCACGUAGGUGGUUUUUUUAAAGUCAGAUGUGAAAUCCCUGGGCUUAACCUAGGAACUGCAUUUUGAAACUGAAAUACUAGAGUAUCGUAGAGGGAGGUAGAAUUCUAGGUGUAGCGGUGAAAUGCGUAGAUAUCUGGAGGAAUACCUGUGGCGAAAGCGGCCUCCUAAACGAAUACUGACACUGAGGGUGCGAAAGCGUGGGGAGCAAACAGGGAUUAGAUACC